UGUAAUCUGUAUGCAAUGUACAGUAUAAGUCCUGCAAAUCUCAAUGACGGAGAUUUUUGUAACUUGUAAACAAGGAGGCCGCUGUCAUUUUUGGAGAUUUGCCAUCAAUAAUAAGCUGGGAAUUACUUCAGAAGACCAAAACAAUCAGACAAGACAUUAUUUUGAGGAUGAUAUUGCUUAAGAUGUAAACAGAAACUGACAUUAAAGGAGGUUGGUGUCAUGAUCUUGUUUCCUUUGAGUGCGCAUUAGAUAAAAACAAGCAGACUUUGUGUGUUUUGAACACUAUUUGAGACAGUUGUUUAAUUUUAUUCAUGAUUCCAAAUAUGAACGUAAGCUUGGCAAACAGCUUUGGAGAAUUUGAUGUUUCCCCAGUCAAACAGAACUGCUCAACAAGCGUUUCAAAGAUGGCCGCCGAGUGAAAUUACUUGCCUUAAAGGAAUUUUAGUACGGUUAAGGUUAGGGUUGGGGGGAGGCCACUCUUCAAUAAUGUUACUUUCUUUAUACUAAUAAAUUCAUACAAACUAGUCCCUCGGCAAACAGCUUUGGAGAAUUUGAAGUUUCCUCAUUCAAACAGACUUGCCCAGGAGGCGUUUCAAAGAUGGCCGCCGAGUAAAAUUACUUGCCUUAGAUGAAUUUU
ensembl:processed_transcript